AUUGAACGCUGGCGGCAUGCGUAACACAUGCAAGUCGAACGGUUUCUGGUGCUUGCACCGGAGAUAGUGGCGGACGGGUGAGUAAUACGUAGGAAUCUGUCUUAGCGAGGGGGACAACCUGAGGAAACUUAGGCUAAAACCGCAUAAACUCGGAAGAGAAAAGCAGGGGACCGGAAACGGCUUGAGCUCUAAGGUGAGCCUACGUCGGGUUAGCUAGUUGGUGGGGUAAAGGCCUACCAAGGCGAUGAUCUGUAGCUGGUCUGAGAGGACGGACAGCCACACUGGGACUGAGACACGGCCCAGACUCCGACGGGAGGCAGCAGUGGGGAAUAUUGGACAAUGGGGGGAACCCGGAUCCAGCGAUGCCGCGUGUGUGAAGAAGGCCUGCGGGUUGUAAAGCACUUCCAGUUGGAAAGAGAAGCGAGAGGAGAAUAUUGUUUCGUGGAGACGUUACUAACAGAAGAAGCGCCGGCUAACUCUGUGCCAGCCGCCGCGGUAA
rnacentral:rRNA from 1 species